AAGAUACUGAAAAAGACUUGUUUCUAGAUAUUUUUAACUGUAGUUCAUUAUGUUGUUUUUUUUUUCACACCAGGUUUCCUGCUUGAAUCCCCCUCACACACCUCAUGCUUGUCACCUGUACUGUAGUUCUGCUCUGUUCUGCAGUAACUGCCUUCCUCUGGGCUGGAACACAAAAGAAGACCUUGUGAAAACAGUCACCAUUUCUGGGGGUAAAUGUUCACUUCUUUUCCCUCAGAAGCAGAGAGGAACUUCCAGAACUGAUCACAGCUCACGUUGGAGCCUGCAGCAGAGGUUGGUGGGACUUUUCCAGCACAUGGGCAGCACGUGGCAGCAGCACUGACAGCACCGCACCGUGUGGCAGCAAACAGCUCCAGCUCUGACCUCUGCUUCUGAGCCUAGAGCAGGUACAUGAUGCCUCUGCUUUCCCCACCAGCCCCAGCCCCCAGAGCACACUGCUGCCAGCUGCCACAUCGCGGCUGCCGCUCCGUUGGCUUUUUGGAAGCCUUGAGUGUUCUCCCAGAGCUUUCUGGACGUCGGUUUAAACUGAGCUUGCAGUGAAUUUGGAGCUAAGUUACCUGUUUACGUGUUUUGGGGUUUUGUAAAUCAGCACUGAAUCGAAGGCACUCCAUUACUGGGUUCUCAGGGCAUCCUGUGACUGAGGGCUCGCUGCUGGUGCUGCUGGUGCUGCUGCCACAAACCACAGUGAGGGGCCUGGACGCCGUGUCCUGGUGUGGCUCCGUGCCCGGGUUCCACCAGCUAAAGCCCGGCUGCCGGCAGCUCCCAACUUACCUGCAGAUGCUACCCGCGUUCGUGGGGACCAACUAAGGGCAGGACCCAGGCUCGUGGGCUGAGCUGCAAACUCACUUGGCUUUGGUGCCUUUAAUUCAACCUUAUGGCAGUUGGUUGCUAUUAAAUUUGAGAGCCGUGCCCACGGCCCGAUUUAAGCCUGGGCGUCCCAGCGUGCUUGGCGUUUUGCAAUGAGAGGAGACAGUCCCUGCCCCGAAGAGAACAUCACAGGAACUUUUUUUUCUGGUGAUUUAAUCAUAAUAUUGACAGCUUUAUCAAAAAUUACAAAACUGAUAUUAAAAAAAUUUCUAAUUCUUAGUAAGACUAGAAUGGGUUUCUUUUUUAAAAAUAGAAAAGCACUUUUAUGCUACUGCUCUUCUGGAAUUCUCACAUUACAACCCUACAUAGCAAAAUACAAAUGUAGCUAAGAAAGGUAGCAGGCCUAAGGUACUUCAGUCCACCACGAGCCCUCUAACAACUUCUAUACCAUCAAACUCAGGGACUCCAAAAGGGUAUCACAGUACUUAGAAACCUUCUGCAAAACUCAGUUAGGAAAUACCUGGUAAUGUUACGUUCCUUCUAACCCCGAAAUCCUUAGACUGUGAGUAUGAGAACCUGGGACAGCAGAGGUGGGAAUUAGUAUUUUUUUCCUUCAGUGAAUAUUACUUUUGCAGCUGAUUCCAGCAAAACAUUCUCUGCAAGAAGUGAAAAUACGAAGAAAAUCCAUCAAAACAAAUGAUUUUUUUUUUUUUUCUUUUCUUUUUUUUU